rnacentral:misc_RNA from 1 species
GCUACUACCGAUUGAAUGGUUAGUGAGGACUCCUGAUUGGCGCCGCCGCCCCGGCAACGGAGCAGCGGACUGCCGAAAAGUUGUUCAAACUUGGUCAUUUAGAGGAAGUAAAAGUCGUAACAAGGUUUCCGUAGGUGAACCUGCAGAAGGAUCAAGAUUGGAAGGGCGUCGGGUAGGGGAAGAGGGUAGGUUCCGGGGGGCGGCGUAUACAUUAAAAAAAAAAACAUGAGAAACUAAGGAGUAACAAUAUACAUAUGCUAAACAAGUACCUAGACU